rnacentral:lncRNA from 1 species
AUGCUUGGUCUUUUCAUUUUCAAAAUCACAGUCUUUGGUUCUGAUCCUACAGGCAACCAUGAAGCUCCUGUAACUUGGCUAAAUCCUGUUUUCUACAUAUGCAAGGGUUGUCUUGACAAACAGCUCUCAAGGCUUAAGAUGCCUCAAGGCUGUCUCUUCUAACAGAGACUAGGGGAAGUGGAGUGAGGGCCACAGAAAACUUUGUGAAGCAGCUACAGAAGAGGGCAGUGUUUGCAGUGCCUGGUGGCUCCAGAGGGAGUUUAACACAAAGUUAGGGCCUGAGCUUCCAAUGCGCAUCUCCACCUCGGUGAUGUUUACCUGAACAAUACAGUUCUGAGAAGACGCCCUCCUGUUUCCUGAGGAGCUGUCAGCAGCUGUAUCACUUUCCAACAGGUAACCUAAUUUGAGUAGUUGUCUUGCUCAGUAUCUGAAUACCCUCUUUCUCCUCCAGCUAGAAGCAAAAUUCUCUGACAAGGAUCAACAGUCUAGAUCCAACACUGUUUAUUGAACUUCUGCUAGUGCAGCAAUCCCUUCAAUUUCUUAGCUGUCAUGCAGACUCUCAGAAGGCAAGGAAAGGUACAUUUCCCUUUUCUUACCAGAUGUCACAGUGGUACCUCACCACUGGGGGUGGUACCCCAUUUUGGUGUCUGGGUGACACAGGCCACAGUGUGAGAUACUCUGUCCUCCACUGGCUCACGCUUCUCCUCCUUGGAUUCUUGUAAGAAAGAGCAGAAAAAACAAGUCUUGAGAUUUCCUUCCUCUAGGGGCAUCAGGCUGGCCAUAGCUACUGCAAGCACCCUUUGACAGGUCUGCUCUACCAUGAAGUCUUAACCCACCUACAGCUCAGGAGGCUCAGACUGGGUCUGGUAGAAAUAACUAUCCCCAUCCUGAACUUUUAAGCAGUCCUCUGCUUGGUCCCACAUGCCAGCAAAAAGCAAUAUUUGAGCUAAAUUUUAAUUCAAGUUCUCUUCAACCAUUUGUUUUUUCAAAGCUGUGAGGCAUCAAGCUUUCAUUGUCUCCAGCCAAGAGAGAAUGUGAAAUGGCCCCAACAGGUGCUGGGGAGAAGCAUUUCAGAAUCAGCUCAUAACUCAACAGACACAAAGUAAAUGUAUUCAAUAAAUAUUUUAUUUUGACACA